GCCGGCUUAGCUCAGCUGGUAGAGCAGCGGUUUUGUAAACCGAAGGUCGGGGGUUCGAGCCCCUCAGCCGGCACCA
rnacentral:tRNA from 1 species